UACGACUACAUAUCAGGCAUAUCAAUAAGCGGAGGAAAAGAAACUAACUAGGAUUCCCUCAGUAACGGCGAGUGAAGCGGGAAGAGCUCAAAUUUGAAAUCUUCAAGGUUUCACCUUGACGAAUUGUAGUUUAAAGAAGUGUUUUCUGUUGGAAUUUUCGGUAAAAGUUCUUUGGAAAUAGGACAUCAUAAGAGGGUGAGAAUCCCGUAUUUGACCAUUAUUUUCAGCUGUGUGAUACACUUUCAAAGAGUCGGAUUGUUUGGGAAUGCAGUCCAAAAUGGGUGGUAAAUUUCAUCUAAAGCUAAAUAUUGGCGAGAGACCGAUAGCGAACAAGUACCGUGAGGGAAAGAUGAAAAGAACUUUGAAAAGAGAGUUAAACAGUACGUGAAAUUGUCAAAAGGGAAGCGUUUGACACCAGUGUUGUUUUCUCGAAAAUCAAUUAAAAAUGACUGGAUUUUGUGUUGUAUUGACUUUAUCAGCUUUCUGCACUCUUUUCUUGUCUUUUUUAAUGCACUUUUCGUUUAACAAGUCAACAUCAAUUUCUUUUGUUGUAAAAGAGGUCAUUGGAAGGUGGCUUUCACUUUCGGAUGAAAGUGUUUAUAGCCUUUGGCUUCUGCAAUCGGAGAGAUUGAGGUCUGCAGCGUAGAUCCUUCGGGGUUAGAUACAUUAGAUGCUAAGUUAUAGCUUUUCAUAGACAACUUGUUGACUAUGAUUAGUCAUUGUAGCUUACUCGCUUAUGUAUUUUACCUACGCUUAGGAUGUUGAGUCUGUGCGAGACUAC
rnacentral:rRNA from 1 species